GACGAACGCUGGCGGCGUGCCUAAUACAUGCAAGUCGAACGCUGAAGAGAGGAGCUUGCUCUUCUUGGAUGAGUUGCGAACGGGUGAGUAACGCGUAGGUAACCUGCCUUGUAGCGGGGGAUAACUAUUGGAAACGAUAGCUAAUACCGCAUAACAAUGGAUGACACAUGUCAUUUAUUUGAAAGGGGCAAUUGCUCCACUACAAGAUGGACCUGCGUUGUAUUAGCUAGUAGGUGAGGUAAUGGCUCACCUAGGCGACGAUACAUAGCCGACCUGAGAGGGUGAUCGGCCACACUGGGACUGAGACACGGCCCAGACUCCUACGGGAGGCAGCAGUAGGGAAUCUUCGGCAAUGGGGGCAACCCUGACCGAGCAACGCCGCGUGAGUGAAGAAGGUUUUCGGAUCGUAAAGCUCUGUUGUAAGUCAAGAACGGGUGUGAGAGUGGAAAGUUCACACUGUGACGGUAGCUUACCAGAAAGGGACGGCUAACUACGUG
rnacentral:rRNA from 1 species